GUUUUUGUGUGGACAUAAGUUUUCAACUCUAUUGGGUAAAUACCAAGGAGCGUGAUUGCUGGAUUAUAUGCUUCCUGAUUCAUCAUUUCUUAUUCUGCUCGCUAAUCUUUAUUCUGAGCAUUUGACAUCCUCAGACAGGCUGUUUAUGGGUAACUGCUCAUGUGAGGUGAACUGUAAUGAGGAUAACAUCCUUGCUCUCAAAGAGGAAGAAGACCAAAAUGAAACUCCGCCUCUCAUCUGGAAAUCAUUGACUCCCCUUCUACCAAAUAGUCAAAAAUCACUGAGUUCAGGAAAAUCUCCAAGUUGUUACCAGUGGAUUCGUGGCAUCAUAGCCGCCUUUCUCUCAUUCAGUGAAGAAAGUGUUAUAAUUGCAGCAGCUCAAGCCUUUUCUUCUCUACAAGCUACUAUUAAAUCUGAGAGAUUGGAAUUGAAAGAUAUUAUUUUGGUCCAUCUCUAUCUGAAAAACAUGAAAGAUUUCUCAUCUAUUAACUCAGCAUGUGUGACCACCUUCAAGCAUUGCCUGCCUGCAAGAGUAUGUGUAGAAACUGUGUUGCCAGAAGAAGUACUUUUCUCAAUAGAUUGCCUUAUCCGCCAGAGUGACAUAAAGAUUGAUGAUGGUCUCUUUCAUCCUAAAGAGAUUCCGCAUGUUCAGAAUAUUUCUCAUUGGGCACCUGCUAGCAUUGGACCAUAUAGUCAGUCUAUCAAGGUGAGGAAAUUGAGAAGGUAAAUAACUGUCCUAAGAUCACACAGCCAGUAUGUGGUGGAGCCAGCAUUCAAGCCCUAGUUGUCUGGAAGAACACGAGUGUCAUGGCAAUGCCAAGGACACAGGUGGCAUCCUGGUGGUAGUGGUACUUCCCCAUCUCCCCAGAGAUGCUGCUAUUGAGUGGCACGUCAUUGCAGUGGCAGAUAAGCCACCUAGAAGGAAGCAUUUUGCUUUGUAGAAAAUAUCUGAGGCUUUUCAAGUUGAAUGUGAAGCUGUGACUUCCAGUUCCGUGUCCAGUGCAUCUGUCUAUCUCCAUUUCUUUAAGAUGGACGUCGCCAUCUAUGUC